AGGAUAGCUGCGCAGCCUGCAUUCGCUCUAUAAGACACACACACAUUUCCCCUUACUUUUUAGGAGGGAAAAAGUGAGUCUUAUAGAGCAAAAAAUACGGUAAGUGCAGAUAAGAGCUACAGGCUAUUCCACCCAGUGUUUUAUCAUUCAAUCGUGGUUUGCCUCUCUCCAUUAACACAGAGGAACUGUGUCACUCCAGAUGGCAGGAAGGUUAUCCUCUAGCUGAACUGGGGAGCCAGGAUCCUUGCACCUCUAGAGCUAGCUUAUCAGGGAGAAGGCUAAGUAAGGACCCUGACACACUAAUUUUCUUCUUGCGGGGAUGCAUGCAUGAACCUGCAGUCUGAAACGCUGUUAGCCCAGCCAGUGCUGCCCCACAUGGUUCUCCCACCCUCGCAUUUCAGAGCUUAGAUGUUUCUCUCUCUGGAGAAGAGCGGGGCAGCAUUUCAGCCUGCUAAGGAGCUGAGUCCUUACCGAGAAAUGUAGUAAAUUAAGCAGAGUGCAAUUGGGUGUUACGCUCAUAGGGCUUAGUCACCAUAGCAGAGUAUAUUUAUUACAAAGCUUUAUUUAACCUAUUGCAAAGGAAACACACACGCACCCCUCUUCUUUUGCCAAAGAGACCUUGGCCACGAUCCACUAGGAAUGCCUUUUGCAUGAGCCCUGCAGCAAGGAAGGAGACCAGCAAUGCAUUUCAAUGGUGUACGUUCAGGGGAUGUUCCUAGUGGAUUGGGCCCGGGGGUGGUUGCUGUUGUUUUCUCCUAAAGUAUGCAAUAUUUUUUAUUCCUGAAAAGUUUAUAACCUGAGAUUUCCCUGCGCCUUUCCCCCAAAUAUAUAGGAUUUUUUAUAUAUAUAAAAAUUAUAAAUGUAUGUAUACAUAAUAAGAAAUAUAUAUGCCUACCGUUUUGAUUAAACUUUUUAUGUAUGUAAGUUAGGUCGCGAUGAGCUGAGGGCAGUGGGAACGUCAUUUGGAUGUUAGAUGUUCUUGCGGAUGAGUUGCACUCUUAGUUUUAAGACAAAUACUUAGCAAUCAGUAGACUUAACCCUUAUUCCCACUGAUAAUUAAUAGGAAACCCUACAAAAAAUCCAUACAGUCCAAAUUUAGGGGGCCCGAGGUCCCAAACCUCAAUAUAUGGUAUUGCAAUCACCACUCCUUUGCAAGACCCUUUGAAGCAAAAAGUGUCUGGAUCAGAACCUUCUCUGCUGUUGGGCUGCCUGUAUUUUAUUUUAUUUUGCUUCAUCGUGCACACUCGUUGGAAGGAAAUAUUGAUUGCUCUGUAACCCUAAUUCCAGUUACUGGGAAGGGGUGCCGAAAUUAGAUUUAGGAGAGAGGUUUGUGAAGCUCAGGGCAAUGUCCAGGUUUCACCCAUCAGCUAUGCUUAAAGUAGGACCGAAUCCAGUAUAAAGGAAAUCCGAUUGGGCCAUAUCUGGCCCCCCUCCAGAUUUUUUGGACCACAUGUCCCACUGGCCGAAGCCAGUAAUCCAAAGCAGCUGGAGGGAGGCCAGCUUAAGGCAAAGGCUGGAUUCAUGGAGAGAUGGCCCUGUGGCUGCUCAGUGGAGCCUCCAUGUGCAAGGGCAGUGUACCUCUGAACUCCAGAACGGGGAGCGUUUUUCUUUCUAGUGCCUCUGAUGUAUUAUUUGCACUCAAUUCUUUCCCCAUUUUGCCUUGUCUGCUCAGAAGUAAGUCCUGCUGCCUUCAGUGGGGCUUACUCUGAGCAAAGUAGGGUUAGGAUUGCAGCCUUGAUGCAAAACCAAUUCAGAUUGGCGAGAUCAAGGUUUCUAAUGCUGUGUUACUGGCAGGAAAAAGAAAUGCUUUUGUGAACAACGUGACGAUCACAGAUCUCUGCAUCUUCUUUUGUUCUUUCUUUCUUUCUUUCUUUCUUAUGAACAGGGAAGGGACUGGGCGCUUUCUGAGUUUUGUGUCACCCAACACUGCAAGGGGUCAGACUAGAUGGGCCUUGGAGAUCCCUUCCAACUCUACAUUUCUAUGGUUCUGCAAGAAAGGGCACAUCUUUGAAUGCAUUGAAUCGUGGAGCUGGAAGUGAGGGACCCCAGUGGCCAUCUAGUCCAACCCCCUGCAAUGGAGGAAUCUCUUUUUAAAAAAAUAUUUUUAUUAGUUUUCAAACAUAACAUUUUCAACAAUUCUUAAACAUGCUUUUAUACCUUAUACAAUUUUUUUGACUUCCAUCAAUCACAUCUGACACUUUUCCAAUUUUUCACAUUUAUUACUUUCACUAUUACAUUUAAAUAUCAUACUGGUAACUAAUAUCUCUCUUCUUUCUCUUCUUUGCAAUAUUUCCUAUUUUCCUCCUUACAAAACUUCUUGUAGUCCUACUAGCUUAAUUUGUUGAUUACAGUUGCUCUUCAAAUAAUUCGUAUAUUUCUUCCAAUCUUCUGUAAAUCCCGCAGGUUUCGAAUCCAUCCUGUCAUUUUGUCCAAUUCUGCGUAGUCCAUUAAUUUCGUCUGCCAUUCUUCAUUCGUCAUUAUUUCUUCUUGCUUCCAUUUCUGGCCCAACAAAACUCUUGCCGCUGUUGUUGCGUAUAAAAACCAUUUAAUGUCCUGUCUAUUAAUGUCCUGACUUAUAACACCAAGUAAAAGCAAUGCAGGAAUCUCAGCUCAAGCAUCCAUGACAGAGAGCCCUCCAUCCUCUGCUCUAAACCUCCAAGGAAGGAGAGCCCAUUUUCCAAGGGAGUCCGUUCCACGGCCAAACAAUUCUUAGCGUCCUCCUUUUCCUCCUCCUGCCCUGUACAUUUUUGCUAAAUCCAAUAGUCCCUUCAUUUCAUAUGAAGGUCAAAUGCGGACGCCCUGAGAUGCUAAAGUCCUCAAACAAGCAGCGUCCUUUGGUCCUUCCUGUGAAAUCUCAGGGGCGCUGUUGUACAUUGCAUUUUCAUACUUUGACCAGCCAGGCUUAGAAGGGGCCGGUGGAGAGGGGGGGGGUUGGGGGGGAAUCCUGCGAGAGGGUUUGAUGGUGGCUGCCUGGGAAACCGCACAAGUCAGCUUUUUUAGAGAAAAAUAAACCGCUUAUUGUAAUUUGCCAGAUCUGAUGCACAGCUGACAGGCACCUUCCUGCAGGCGGUGGGGUUACAAUAACUCCUGCUGGCCAACCCACCACCAAUGCAGAAGGAGGGGGGGACGUGUCUCUAGCCAGGAAUUAUAUUUAGCCUUUUGGUUGCAUAACAGUAGGCCAGCUCCUCUCUCUCUCUCUCUCUCUCUCUCUCCUCUGUAGGUCCUUUCCCUGACAGCUCACAACCCCUUAUUGAUGAGCAAGCUUUAUUUUUAACAGAAUAAAUCAAAUAUCUGCAUCGGGUGCAUGCUGCAAAUCUCUGGCAUGCUGAAUUAUUUUUCUCUUUUUGAGACUGAGUGCAUUGCGAGAGCUGAGCUGAUGUGAAUUUCUUCCCCGUACGAUCCGCAGGCAGAAAGCAGGUUGUCAGAAUGUGGGGCAAAGCUGAUUUCGGCCUGCAAAAGUCCUAAGUAUUUUAUCUUUGACAGGCUGUUGGGUGUUUGGUUUUUUAGUGGGGGAGCUGUUAACAUUUGUUGUUGUUGUUUAGUCAUUUAGUCGUGUCCGUCUCUUCGUGACCCCCUGGACCAGAGCACGCCAGGCCCUCCUGUCUUCCACUGCCUCCCGCAGUUUGGUCAAACUCAUAUUCGUAGCUUCCAGAACACUGUCCCACCAUCUCGUCCUCUGUCGUCCCCUUCUCCUUGUGCCCUCCAUCUUUCCCAACAUCAGGGUCUUUUCCAGGGAGUCUUCUCUUCCCAUGAGGUGGCCAAAGUCUCGGAGCCUCAGCUUCAGGAUCUGUCCUUCCAGUGAGCACUCAGGGCUGAUUUCCUUAAGAAUGGAGAGGUUUGAUCUUCUUGCAGUCCAUGGGACUCUCAAGAGUCUCCUCCAGCACCAGAAUUCAAAAGCAUCCAUUCUUCGGCGAUCAGCCUUCUUGAUCGUCCAGCUUUAACUUCCAUACAUCACUACUGGGAAAACCAUAGCUUUUACUGUUAACAUAGGAUCACAUAAUUGUGGAGUUGGAAGAGACCCCCAAAGGUCAUCUAUCGCAACCCCUGCAAUGCAUGGAACUUUUAAAUGUCCAUGCUAUUUCAAAAUGUUUAAAAAGCUGGGGGGGGGCGGACUUAACAUCUCCACACCCCCCCCCCAAAGGAACCCAAGCUUAGACUUAGAAUGACAGUUAAACAAUUCUGCAUCUGACCACGUUCUGCAGCAGGUUAAGAUGAAAAAGUGAAGUGGUCUGGAUUUGAUCAAAAAUGGUUCUGUCUUGGGCUGGUGAAGCUGUGCCCCGUCACUGCCACCUCGUUAAGUUUUCUGUUAAAAAUAAUAACAAUGCAAACGGGGAAAAUGGGUUUAAAACAAGUGAAUAAAACCAGUUGCAGCUCAGGACAGUACUGAAAACCCCACUAAGAGAGAAAUCAAAGCAGCGGGUCAGGAUAAUUCAGUUUGAAUUCCCGCAAGAUCUUCCUAAAAAGUUUCCACCCUCUUGGGCCAGCAAAUAAAUGGAAACACCGUACAGAUGGGGCUCCCUGUAGAGGAUUUUCUGUGCCUAAAUGUCACACUAGACUAGAAGAAACUCUUGUAUUCUUCAUGCCUUUGAGGAAGAAGGAAACUCACAGUAGAUCCUCGUCCUUUUUUCUUUUCCUUUUCUUUUUUACUGAGCUGUGGGCUCUUGUCUAACACAAACGUAGAUAAGGUGAUUUCAAGACCUAAGCCAGAAUUUCUCAGAAUGUGUUUUUUCUUGGGGGGAAAUUCUCCACCUUGCGGUGUUUGGCGUUCCCAUUUCCCCAGGCCUAAAAACAAGUCCGAGAGACCGCCCUGAGUUUCCCGGAGACCACAUUGAGACACAUGGUGCGUCACAAAUUCAGCAGGCCUGUUCCUAGCGCCUCAGCCCUGCAAGGUAAUGCGCUGCGGAAGGAAAUGGAUGAGUCCUUGUUCCAAACAUCAAGUGCAGAGAGGACUGAAUUUAUUUAAUUUAUUGAUUCAGUCCAUUUAUAUACGGCGCUUUAUCAAAAGAUGUGUGCAACAUUAGAAACACAUUCCAAAACUUCCAUGAUAAAAGCACAGCUAAGCCCCUCUCUCUCUUUUUCAUAAUUGGUCCAGGGAUUUGUGAACUUAAUGCACAUAUAGCCAGAGAGUUGCAUGCAUGAAAUAUUUAGGCUCUCCUAUUUCUGGGGUGUUUUUGGAUUUUGCAUUUGUGGGACCCCUUGUAAACAUCUUCAGAGAGGCAGGGGUUGAAUUAAAAGCAUGCUUGCACUAAAGGCGGUUGGAAUUCUUACUUGUGGAGAAUAUCCUUGGGUACUCUGCAUAUGCUACAAUCCUAAUUACUAAAAUUGAUCUGUGUAAUCCAAGCAUGCGCACAGGUUGAGGAGCAUUAGAGGAGAAGUUAAUAUAAUUGUUUCAGUGUUGAGAACAGGAAGCAGGACUAGAUGGGCCCCGGGUCGGAUCCAGCAGGCUGCGUUUACAUUCUUCUGUGCAAUCCAGAGGAAGGUUCCUUGCACCAUCGCCCGUGAAAUGUUAGUUGCUCAAGAGCUCUCCCAGAUGCUCUUAUGCUACAUAGAGGACGCUGCAUCCCACCUGAAGACAUUUCAGGCAUCCCUAUGUAGCAUAAGGACAUCAGGUCCUGUGGGAUCCCGCCAGCGAGGGCUGUUAACGGAAAAAUCCGAGGGCUCCCUUGGACAAAAACAAAGACACCAACCAGGAUUACUUGGAGCAAAACAGCAGCCUGUAGGCUUGGCCUUUAUUGAUCUGUUGCAACAGGGUGCUCCCUCACCCGCAGGAGAGAGGAGGGACCCAGAAAAAUGGUGUGCAAGGCCUUAUAAAGACUUUUGAAACUGCCACCCUGUAGACCAAGACCACCCCCAGAAACAUUAUACAUAUAUCACAGAAGGGGUGUAACCUAAGACCACCCCUCAGAUACAUCACACCUACAUCACAGAAAAGGCGGUCUAAAACAGAAAUUUUAAUACUGUUUUUCUCCUGUUUGGCAGGUUACUUGAUUGGAUUUCCUGGGUAGCCUGGCCAGUCUUUUGUAAUGAUAAAUACUUAGUUCCUGGGCCAGGUCACAGGCUCACACCCUAUUCAAACACAGACAUGCCCUUAAGACAGAAUUUGUGAAGGAAAAGACAAUGGGGAGGCUUUUCCAGUUUGACCUUGCAGAGAAAACAUUUGCACAGUUUAGGAAUCAAAAUGGUUCCAGGUUAGCCUUCCUGUGCUGGUCUAUGAAUGUGCUUGGUUGGUACACUUAUGAACAUUACCAUAUAUCUAAGACCAUAAAAUUCCUGUCACAGGGCCCAUCUAGUCAUUCAUUUAUUUCCGAAAAUUCAUACACUGCUUGCUUGUGGGAAGAGCCUCAAAGCAGUUUGCAAAAAGAUGAAACAAUAAAAUCGCCAGGGAGAAAUUCCCACCAUCGUUAAAACGGAACAAAAGGUUAAAAUGCCAAAACAAGUUAAAGUUCGCAACAACUUUCAAAGCAACUGGAAACAUUUUUUAUUUGCAGGCACCAGAAAGAACGCAGAGAAGGCGCCUGCUAGUAUCAAUAGGCAGGGAGUUCCAAAGUGUAAAAGAUCGAGUGCUUUCAAAUGCGGAACAGGGAACAGGGCCAAUUUGGCGAUCUCGUAGCUAAACUGGUCCCAAGUUGUUAAGCCCCUCGUCAUGUUCUCACAGUGGCCAAGGAGAUGCCUGUGGUAAAUCUGCAAUCAGGAUUCGAACACAAGACCCCUCUCCCCACCCCUAGUUUUCAGCAACUGGGGUUCAGAAGCUGUAAACUAAGAUAGUUGCUCCGUUUGCAUGAGAUGGGCAAAGGGUUUGUUUGUUUGUUUGCUGCGAGAAACGAGUUCCAACUGCAGAUUUUUAUUUUUAUUAAAAAGGAAGAGCACAGGCCAGUCAUUUUUCAUGUUUAGGAUUUCUCUCUCUCUCUCCCUUUUAUCUCCAGCAUCUUCUCAUAAAACUUAGGCAUGAGAAAAAUGCUUUAAUGUGGAACAUUCCGUGAACUGAAAGUCCCAUAACUCCUGUGCAAAUAUUGGCUUGAGCUUGUGGCUUCAGCUGGAGGCAGCAGCCCUGAUGUUAUUUCUGUGAGGAGGGGGAAGUUAGGAAGUUUGCAUUAGACAUUAAAAGUGGGGGGAAUACCCAGUGGAUCAUUUUCUGCGUUUCCUUUUCUCUUGGCAGAAUUGCCUGCAUAUAUAUAUAUAUCCCUCUUGCCAUAAAUAGAGUCAAAGCGUCUCUAUUUGCAGUUGUGUCUUUAUAAAGCAUGAUUCUCUUGCUGGGGGGAAAGUGAGAAGGAUGUUGUUCUCCCCCCCCCCCCCAGCUGCUAUUGAUAGGGCUGUGUGCAAUGAUUAACUCUGUUUAGGCGAGACACUUCUUUCUAAUUCCUAGUUCCUUUUUGUAGCUCAAUUCCAUCUCCCAGGUGGUUGGUUCAUUGCUUUGCAAUAUACAGCCGUACGUUGGACCUCGAACGCCUCUCCAGUCAAAUGUUUUGGCUCCUGAACACCACAAACCCGGAAAUGAGCGUUCCGGUUUGCAAAUGUUCUUUGGAACCCGAACAUCCGGUGCAUCUUCCGAUUGGCUGCAGGAGCUUCCCGCAGCCAAUCGGAAGCCGCGCUUUGGUUUCCAAACAUUUUGGAAGUCAAACGGACUUCCAGAACAGAUUCCAUUUGACUUCCGAGGUACGACUGUACAUGCUUUGAAUCACCAAAUCUGCAGCGGUUACAGCGAGUUUAUGUGUGCGCAUAUUUUAAAAUCUAUUAUUAUUAUUAUUAUUAUUAUUAUUAUUAUUAUUAUUAUUCCAAGGUUAUAAGAGGAAUAGAAAACUCCACAGUUGCAAUAUAAGUAUUUUAGUCUAAGAUGGACAAGCAGCCCUUGGUUCAAAUCUCACCUGUGCCAUGAGUCCAAAAAAUGUAGUAUAAGCACUGACACCUGGGAAACACUGGCCUGCGAGUGCUCCAGUUGGAGAACAGCCUUGACCAAAGGUGUCAUGGGCUUUGAAGACACUCGAACUCAGGACGCAAGGGAGACACGUGCUAAGAGGAAGGCACACUUAGCAAAUCCACACCGUGAUCAACUCUCGCCCGGGAACCAAUGUCCCCACUGUGGAAGGACGUGUGGAUCCAGAAUUGGUCUCCACAGUCACUUAUGGACUCAUUGUUAAAACCGUGUUCAUGGAAGACAGUCUUACUGGGCUACGAGGGUUCGCCAAAGAAGAAGAAGGCAGUCACUACUCUCUCAGCAGCAUCAACCUUGUCCUGCAUACACACACACACACACACACACACACACACACCUGUCUUCCAGAAAACUCUUGAGAAAUGUGAGAUUUAGGACACCAGAAUGAUCUGGGCUGCUGCUUUCUGUCACACAAACACCGGCACUCUUCCACACAGUUAUUGCGGCACGAGGAUUACUUACUUGUAAGGUGUGCACACAGACUGGAGGGGAGGAUCACCCCCCCCUUAAACUGAGAGCUCUCCUAGCAUAUUUAUAAAAGAUAUAAAAAUGAGAUGAAUUACUCUUUUGUAUGCCUGUUCUCUAUCGUUAACCUUCCCUGAACCACAGAAUCCGGAUUCACCAGCGUAUACUUUUGUAUUCAGCAGACACAAAGUGCCUUAUUGCUAUUUUUUUAGGAGAAAUCAAAGUAUCUCAAGCAUAUAUUUUCUGUACGUUGUUCUUGUAUGCAAUUAUACAACUAUGUGCCUUUCUGCCUUUUCGCUCUGCUCUUUGGGUUAUCCUUUUGUUGCAUCCUUAAAAAAAAAAUCAAGUUAUAUUUUCUGAAAGAAAGAAAAAAAAUCCUCUUUUUGUAAGAAUAAAAAUACACAGCAUUUUCUGAAGCCUUGCUCUUAGUUUUUUUUUGUGGGGGGAGGACACAAAAAUUGCAGAUGGUUUGAAGAACGUUUUAGCGACCCAAUAAACUCUUGAUACACUUUGCUUGGG